rnacentral:lncRNA from 1 species
UUUAACGUCAUUAGCUUGACCCAAUAAAGCUCAAGUUCCAUCUUCAACAUUGGUAUUCUCCUUUAUAGAUAUUCUUUUUUUCUUCCUUUUGGUGAAUUUCUUCAAAAAUUUGAUAAAACCAGGAACUCGUUUGAAUGUCUCAAUCAUAGGAACUUUAAUCUCCAAUUUCAUGAAUAUUCCCAUAAAGCGCUCAAACUCCUUCUCCUUCAUAUGAUACUUCUUUGGAUGAGGAAGGGGUUUUUCAUAUGAUUCGUUCUUUUUCCUCUCAUCCUCUUUUUCUUACUUUUCUUCUCCCUCAAUUUUCUCUUUUUCUUUUCUCUUACUUUGUUCUUCCCUUCUCUUUUUCCAUUCAACUUCUUUAUUUUCAAACACAGUCUCUUUUUCUCUUUUCUCUCAACCACUUCUUUUUCCUUCUUUUCAUCUUUAUCUUUCUCACUCAAAGUUUCUGUUUCUUUUUCCUCCAUCUUUUCGUCAUCUGUCUCUAUCUUUUCCUCAUAAAAAAUCUUGUCAUUUCCAGUGAUAGUGGCUUGACAUUCCUCC